UCGAGAAUAAUUCGCAAUGGGCGCAAGCCUGACGAUGCGACGCCGUGUGAACGAUGAAGGCCUUCGGGUUGUAAAGUUCUGUCGCCUGUGAACAAGGUUUUUUCGUGAAUAACGAGGAAACUUGAGAGUAGCAGGAAAGGAAGCACCGGCUAACUCCGUGCCAGCAGCUGCGGUAAUACGGAGGGUGCAAGCGUUAGUCGGAAUUACUGGGCGUAAAGGGUGCGUAGGCGGGAAUAUAAGUCAGAUGUGAAAAACUGAAGCUCAACUUCAGCAGUGCAUCUGAAACUGUAUUUCUAGAGGGAUAGCGGAGAAAACGGAAUUCCACGUGUAGCGGUGAAAUGCGUAGAUAUGUGGAAGAACACCUGUGGCGAAAGCGGUUUUCUAGCUUAAACCUGACGCUGAGGCACGAAAGCAAGGGGAGCAAACA
rnacentral:rRNA from 1 species